UUGUGAAGGCAUGUGCUGAGGAGGGGGCAACAGUGUUUCUUUCAUUUUGCUUUCAAAACGCGCGUUCCUUCCAAGCUGGCCCGUCGGACGGAGUAUGGGGCUGAAGGGACUGAGCAGCGGAAUGUGUAACUUUUGAAGACGUGCUGCCCUCAUCCCCUUCUCUUUGCUGAGAGUUUGUGUUGCAAGUGCUAAGGAGGUGACUCUGGAGCUGCUUUUCCACUGUGAGAUCAUUCUGUCCUGCAUGGCCAGCAUCAAAAUUCUUCCUGCAGUAUUUCAGCCAGCAUAGUAAAGUAGCGAUUCAAAUGUCUCCUAGCCUUGUAUUGACUGCCUCAUUCAGUGUCCAGGAGUGGCUGGUAAAUCUGGAAAACAAUUUCCAAGUUCCCUUCCAAGUCCAGCCUUGAAGAUGUGGGCCGGAGUUGUGUUUUCCCUGUUGCUUUCUUUAUGUGUGUCUGAUCAAGGGAGUUCCAUUUUAAAAGAGAGUGGUGCUGAGGUGACACACAUAUAUCUACUCAGUAACAAAAAGCAUUGUGAACAAGCUUGUAAAGGCUCAACAGAUUCAGAUAACCCUUACUGCUGGUCAGUGGUGCAUCAGAGCCAUUGUGUCCUUCUCCGCUGUCCUCAGCUGAGUGCAUGUCAGAAUGCCAGCAGACAAGAUAUCAAAGAGCUAAUGGGAGAAUUUGUGACUCGUAAAAGAAGAGAACAUGAUGCAUCCCAUGAGAUAAAUAAUACGGGAAAUGCAAAUAAAGAGUUAGAGGUGCUGAAGAGUACUGAAUCAGUUAACAAACCCACAGAAGUGCCUCUUUUAUCAAAAUCAAGGACUAUAACAGGAGAUACUGCAGUCAACCCAACAAACAAUUCGAGUCUGGCAAGACAAAUUACUUCCAUUUUGAAGAAAAUCACAACUGCCAGCCCUGUGAACACUAGUGUCUCCCAAGUUGUUGCAGGAUCAACAGCCAUAACCAAUAUUAGUAGCAACAUAACUACAAUCCAGAAGAAUUCAACUGCUGGCACCCUAAAUAACACCCUAAAUAUUCCAAGCAGCCAUCCUUCAUUAAUUCCCACAAUAGGAGCAGAUGGUACUACUGACAUUACAAGUACUGCAAAUGCAAAAGGGACACACAAUAGUAAAUUAACAUCAGGAGUAGCUGAAAAAACAAUACCAACUGAACUGUUUCCCAGGACUAUGACUACUGCUGCUUUGACUACAACAGCAACUUAUCAAGUGCUUCCCACAACUCUUCCCACAUUGAGCAUUCCUGUACCAGUUAGCAUUGGAAAUGGCUCUAAGCCAGCAGUAAACUCAUCUACAGUUGCAGCUACCCACAAGCCACUAGCUUCAACAAUCAAAAGCACGAUUCAUACAGUUACAAGCACAACCGUGGCAGCAACUUCUAUAGUAACAGUAAAGUCAGCUGAAUUCACAACAGUUGCAACAGACAGGAUAAAGCCUACUUCAGAUAAGGUAAUUCCUCCUGUAUUUACCAAAGGUGCUGACAUCACCACCACUUCACAGCAAAUAUUGUCAACUAGUCAACCAGUGAAGGGAACAACUUCUGUACAUCCCUUGUCAGUGUUCACAGGUACAAAUCCAAAAACGUUAUCCAAACCAACAAGUAUAAUACAAAGCAAAAACCAGAAAGACACAGACAGAGAAAAUAGCUUUCGGCAGGUGGAUGUCAGUUUGCUCUUAGCAGUGCUUCUCUUUGGCGUUCUGUUUUUUGUAACAAUUGUUGUCUUAUUUGCCAUACAAGCCUAUGAGAGCUACAAAAAGAAAGAUUACACUCAAGUGGACUACCUGAUCAACGGGAUGUAUGCAGACUCAGAGAUGUGAUGAAAUAUAUGUUGAUUCAGAUGUGAAAGCAAUAGAAAUGAAAAAUAUUAUACCCAUGCACACAAAUAUAAAUCUGAAUCUAUAUAUGAAUGAAUACAACUUUAUUGGGACAAGUAGAAAGCCUAAGGUGGCUUGUCUUUCAGUUCGCUGUUUUGCCUAUAAGACCACCUGAAAGUGCUUCCAGAUUACUUUUACUGCAGUGAAGGAGAAAUGCCAUGUAUCAUACUUUUAAAGUACUUUUUAAAAAACUCACAGUUAAAGGGUGCCAUGAAUGUAUUGUUUCUCAAGCUACAAUAUUGCUUCUGUUGUGCUAAUUUUGUCUGCUAAUACAAAGGGGUAUUGAUGUUGCAAGAUGGUUUCUUCCUGAUUCCUGAGGUUCUGUUCAUCCCCUGUUUACUCCUAUACAACAAAUGGAGAAAAGGUGUUUCUUUAACACGCCUAUUUUCCUGAAACUUCCAGUUGGCAUGAAGACUGUGUUAGUUGUUGCUAAUGCAAAUGAAUGGCCAGGGAUUAGCAGCAUUAGCAGAAGUGGAACAACACAAAAGAGUGCCAAAAUCUUUUGGGACCCUUUACUUAGACUACAGAAGGAUAGCCCUGCAUUCCAAGAAACUUGCAAUCUAAACUUCAACAUACAGAAAGAACGGGAGGCAGGAAUAAAGAUGACAAGAAUAUGCAGCUGUUUUGCUCACAUGCACUAAGUCUCUUUCACAGGCAGUGUUAUUUAUAGGCCCACCAGAAAUGAAAUUCUGAUAAAAUGAAGUAGGUUAAACGUUUCACAAUAAAAUAAAAAUGCAAGUUAAGAUAUAAGAACAGAAGAGGAGGGCAGGCACCACAGUGAACCAAGGAAAGAGAAAUCCCAAGUGCCAGGAAAGAGAAAGGGGAAGAAUAUCCAAGUGCUGGUUCAUUUAAGCCCAGCACAUUUGAGAAAUGUAGUAGUUUUUCAGGGUCACUUUUGGAAUGUCCAUAAACUAAGUAACU